CACGUAGGGCGCAAGCGUUGUCCGGAAUUAUUGGGCGUAAAGAGCUCGUAGGCGGUCUGUUACGUCUGCUGUGAAAACCCAGGGCUUAACCCUGGGCUUGCAGUGGAUACGGGCAGACUAGAGGCAGGUAGGGGAGAAUGGAAUUCCCGGUGUAGCGGUGAAAUGCGUAGAUAUUGGGAGGAACACCAGUGGCGAAGGCGGCUACCUGGACCGGUUCUGACGCUGAGGCGCGAAAGCGUGGGUAGCAAACAGG
rnacentral:rRNA from 1 species